rnacentral:rRNA from 1 species
UAGGGAAUCUUUGGCAAUGGACGAAAGUCUGACCGAGCAACGCCGCGUGAGUGAAGAAGGUUUUCGGAUCGUAAAACUCUGUUGGUAGAGAAGAACGUUGGUGAGAGUGGAGAGCUCAUCGAGUGACGGUAACUACCCAGAAAGGGACGGCUAAACUACGUGCCAC